rnacentral:rRNA from 1 species
UACAGAGGUCUCAAGCGUUGUCCGGAUUUAUUGGGCGUAAAGCGCUCGCAGGCGGCUUGCUACGUCAUGCGUGAAACACCCCGGCUCAACUGGGGAGGGUCGUGUGAUACGGGCAGCUGAGGCCAGUAGGGGGAUGCGGAAUUCCGGGUGUAGUGGUGGAAUGCGUAGAGAUCCGGAGGAACACCAGCGGCGAAGGCGGCAUCCUGGACUGGUACUGACGCUCAUGAGCGAAAGCGUGGG